UACGUAGGGUGCAAGCGUUAAUCGGAAUUACUGGGCGUAAAGCGUGCGCAGGCGGUUUUGUAAGUUUGUCGUGAAAUCCCCCGGGCUCAACCUGGGAAUGGCGAUGAAGACUGCAAGGCUAGAAUCUGGGCAGAGGGGGGGUAGAAUUCCACGUGUAGCAGUGAAAUGCGUAGAGAUGUGGAGGAACACCGGAUGGCGAAGGCAGCCCCCUGGGUCAAGAUU
rnacentral:rRNA from 1 species